rnacentral:lncRNA from 1 species
GAGUCUGGCUCUCGAGAUUCGGAGGGCGGUGCCUCUUCGAUUUUGGAGCAAGCAAUCUUGUUGGGAGUGUUUUCUCGAAUGUGAGUAAAGGUUGGGCAUGUUUGCUAGUCUACCUUGCCACGAAGCACAGAGGUUGACACACAGGGACUUUCCAAUUAUCCAGCAAUGGUACUGUUCCUUUACCCUCUCUUCGAUUUUUUAAGAAAGUAGUCAUGUUGGGAGUCUGGCUCUCGAGAUUCGGAGGACGGUGCCUCUUCGAUUUUGGAGCAAGCAAUCUUAUUGGGAGUGUUUUCUCGAAUGUGAGUAAAGGUUGGGCAUGUUUGCUAGUCUACCUUGCCACGAAGCGCAGAGGUUGACACACAGGGACUUUCCAAUUAUCCAGCAGUGGUACUGUUCCUUUACCCUUGUGGGUAAUAAUAUGGUAGCUAGACCUUCAAAAUUUAUGGGUCUAAACUUUGUUAGUGCUGUUUC